AUGGCGCUCCAAUCCGAAAGCCGCCGGGCUGGAGACACAGGCGGGCGGCGGGGCCCGAGACGCAGGUGGGGGGCGGGGCCCAGGAGAGGCGGGGCCGCGGCAAAGGCUGGGGAGGAGGGAGCGGUGCGUCACUUCCGUUGUCAGGUGGCGGCGCCGCAGCCAUGGAGGGAGGCGGCGGCGGCGGCGGCGGCUCGGUUGGCUGCGCUGGAAGGCGGCGGUGAGCGACUCGCACGCCCCCAGCCCGGCCCCGGCCCCCCGGGACGGAGAGCCGAGCAGCCCUGGCUCUGGGCUACGGACUAUGGGCGAACAGCUCUGACCACCCGGCGAAGCCCAUCAGCAUCUGUCCUGAGCACAAAACAAAUGGCUUCCAGUGGGUUCCUAAGGAGAUUGUUCACAGCCACCAAGCUCCCGGGGAGAGGGUACGUGCCUCCUUCAGGGCUGGCUGUCAUUCAGACUCAGCGAGAAAGCCCUCACCAGAGCCUCGACCUGGGCCACCGUCUUUAGGCUUUGCUUUUUCAAUAAUGAAAGGGGAGAAUGCACAUCAGAAAGUGGUGCCAGUUAAAGAGAAAAUCUGGGAAACACUGGGAAUGGUUUCUGGCAAGCGGUGGGUGCCCAUCAAAUGAUAAUGAAAAAAAGACAUACCUGCAGAGACUUGCCACAGGGAAGCGUCCUCAGCACGGAACAGGGAGCACCUACCCUUCACCCAGCAAAGACCUGGUGAUACUGCCAGCCAUGGCAUCAUUCAGCUGUCCUGUGAAGGGAGGCAUACUAUCAUCUCUGUUUUACAGAUGAGGAAACUGAGGCCCCCAGAGGGUAGGUGACUAGUGUAGAGUCACAAGAGAAGUGAGUGUCAGAAGUUGAAAUUUGAGCCCAGACCUCCAUGACCCCCAAAUCCAUCUUGUUAUCCCAGUUGGCAUUUGCGUCACUGGUCCAUGGCUUGAAACCCUUGGUUCUCUGAGCUAUGAAUUCCUCUGGGUUUCCUGGACUGCCUUUGUGGAUGGAGAGCAGGUCUGUAGGUGUCCCUGGUAGAAGCAUCUAAACGUGAGUAUUAAGUGCACCAGGAGUGGUGCCCAGAGUGCUUGU
rnacentral:lncRNA from 1 species